GACGAACGCUGGCGGCAGGCCUAACACAUGCAAGUCGAACGUGAAGCUGGAGCUUGCUCCAGUGGAAAGUGGCAGACGGGUGAGUAACGCGUGGGAAUUUACCCAGUGGUACGGAAUAACUCAGGGAAACUUGUGCUAAUACCGUAUAAGCCCUUCGGGGAAAGAUUUAUCGCCAUUGGAUGAGCCCGCGUUAGAUUAGUUUGUUGGUGGGGUAAUGGCCUACCAAGACUACGAUCUAUAGCUGGUCUGAGAGGAUGAUCAGCCACACUGGGACUGAGACACGGCCCAGACUCCUACGGGAGGCAGCAGUGGGGAAUAUUGCACAAUGGGCGCAAGCCUGAUGCAGCCAUGCCGCGUGAGUGAAGAAGGCCUUAGGGUUGUAAAACUCUUUCACCGGUGAAGAUAAUGACGGUAGCCGGUAAAGAAGCCCCGGCUAACUCCGUG
rnacentral:rRNA from 1 species